CCGAAAGGUGCAUUACCUCCAU
rnacentral:siRNA from 1 species